UACGUAGGGUGCGAGCGUUAAUCGGAAUUAUUGGGCGUAAAGGGCGCGUAGGCGGCUUGGCAAGUCAAAGGUGAAAUCCCUCGGCUCAACUGAGGAACUGCCUUUGAAACUGCCUGCUUGAGGCCGGGAGGGGGUAGCGGAAUUCCCAGUGUAGCGGUGAAAUGCGUAGAUAUUGGGAGGAACACCAGUGGCGAAGGCGGCUACCUGGACCGGUUCUGACGCUGAUGCGCGAAAGCGUGGGUAGCAAACAGG
rnacentral:rRNA from 1 species